rnacentral:rRNA from 1 species
GGAGUAUUAUCUAAAUCACAUUAACUGAAUAUUCUUGUCAAUUGUACAUAUCAUGGAACUAAAUCUAAUGGAGACUUUCAGCAAAGACACAUUGUUUCAGGUUUGCAGUCAUAUACAAAAUCAUAACGAUCAGCAGAUACAAUUGAAAAGAGAUAACAAAAUAAUUAUCCGGUGCCAAGCAAGGCGAUGGACAGUCUGCUGGUACGCACCAUGUCCACGAACACGUGAGGGCUACUGCUGUGUGGAUGAUCUGUUUUUCUCGGGUGCAAAUGGACAUUGCUCAAUAAAUGUUUCGUAACAUAGCCUCUUGAUCGUCUACAUAGCCAAAAAUGCAUCUCAGUUGACAAAGCACAAGCAUGUGCAGCUUCUCUGCAUUUGAGGGGGGCAAUAUUGUAGCUAGGAAACAAUAAAAAAUACAAAGAAAUGGAAUGUAUAUUAUAGUUCUACUAAUUAAAUAACAAAGAGGUGUGUUAACCUGGUAUGGUUGCGAACAGGUCAGGCAAUUAGGGACACAAAAGAUGGAGAAGUUAAUACCCACAUUUUUUCAGAGCAUCAAGGCCCGUGUCUGAUAUAUCCUGAGCACCAUAGUGUAUAGAUAAAUCAACAUAAUAGUUAGUAAACCAAUAUUGUGGGAUCAGGGAAACAACACACACCUUUGUCCUGUUGAGCUGAUCGAACAGACAUAUUCAGGAAAAUGAAGAAAGAAAGAAAGAAAAUUAACCUGGAUGUCGUAUAUAUUUAGCUUUCUGUGGCAUUUGACUAUUACCAUUACCAAGAGUUCUUCAUGUAAAAGCACCGCCUUUGUAGUCAAGCAUGCUAGUGAACUCCGCAUUAAUGGAAGAGUUUAUCCUUCCAUUAACGUGAACUCCAAAAUCUAGAUAAACAGUACUACCUCUAUAAAGAAAUAUAAGAGCGUCCCAAACAAAUUUCUUUAUGGAGGGAGUACCAAACAAAUUUCAUUAAAUAUUGUAACCCAACUCUAAAAAUUUGAUUUGUGUGCUCACCUAGUAUUUUUUAUAUAUGCAUUGUCACACCACCAGUCUGUUAUAACAGUUUGUUAUACCAAUAUCCAAUAAGCGGUCUGUUAUAUAUGCAAGAGGCCGGCAAGUAUUCACCACAGCAAAACAUUAUCUCUGACUUUUUAUCACUUCACUUGAUGGAAUAGUUCAGGUUGAAUACACAUAUAAAUGCAAACAUCUACAGUUACAGAACAUACAACAACAGUGCAGAUUCUGCUGCAACCUCCUGAUAUAUUCCUUUAUAGUUUCUCUGACGUAGUAGUAAACAAAUUCAUUAGCAAUUGAACUUACGAAGUGUCAGAUGAGCAAUCAAACAGAGAAAAGCGUAAUGACCAAUAUGCAGUCGGGAGCAGCGGCAUACCGGAGGCGGCCGCCCCUGACAUCAAUCACAUCUCUCUCUGGCCUAGGGCGAGACCGGAAGGGGUCAGGGGUAGAACGUACCUUCUCAAGGGCGGAGGAGCGGCGCUGGCCAGGCUUGGAGGGCGUCGUCCGGGUGCACGCGGCGGGGAAGGCGGUGGUGGAACGACGGCUUGCCGUGGCAGCCUUGGAACCGCAGCCUCCAACAUGUGCCACAUACCAUCAAACCACAAGGACGGGGCUUGCCUGCUCCGUGAAAAUACUCCCAUCCGUGCUCCCCCGGUAAGUGACGCUCAUCCAACGAUCCCACGCUGCUGGCCUCCUUUCCGCUUAAAAAACCCAGCAAUUAAACAAAACCGGCGGCACCUUCCUCUUAAUUAAACGCAGGAAAAGAUCAGCCUCUCGUUUCAUUCCUCUCCUAUCCACUCACUUUCCCAAAGCAGUAGCUUCUCCGCGGCGCUCGUCAGCGAACUGCACACCAGACCUUGCGGCCACGGCGUCCCUCGGCCCUCGCGGCGCUCGUAGGCGAGCUGCGCGCCGUUCCUGAGGACGCAGCCUCCGUCGCCCGGCGCGGCGCUCGUCGUCGAGCUGCGCGCUGUUCCUGAGGCCGCAGCCUCCGCCGCCCUGCGCGGCGCUCGUCGGCGACCUGCGUGCCGUCCCACCUCGGCGGUCACCUUCGUGGCCCUGUUUGCCGCGUUCGCCGCUUGUCGUGGUAGAAGGAUGGCUGCAGUGAAGCAUUUGAUGUUGGGUGUCCUAUCAUCGUACCAAUGGACGACUGCAGCGAGGCAUUCGGAGCUGGGCGUCCUCUCAUCGUACCAACGGAUGGCUGCAGCGAGGCAUUCGGAGCUGGGCGUCCUCUCAUCGUACCAACGGAUGGCUGCAGCGAGGCAUUUGGAGCUGGGUGUCCUAUCAUCGUACCAAGAGACGGCAAUAGUGAGGCAUCCAGAGCUGAGUUGCAUUGUUCUGAAUAGGAUUGGGAGAAGACUGUUGGGUCAGAGAAAAAGGAAGAACGCAAUGGAAACAAGAUGGCUUACAUUUGGGGGAUUUGAUUCCUCAUUGGUUCCGGCAAGAAUUGGUGAAGAAGCCAUCAAGUUCCUCCAGCAAGUCCCUUUGUUGGAUCUGUGUUCGUAGAUAGAUUUGAUGAAGUGUAUAGUUUGGUUUGUUUCGUACUCUAUGUGCGGGAUAAGUUCACGGCCAAUGCUUUUGGCGGGCAAGACAUAUUUAUUUCCCUCCAAAUCUUUGUUCUGUUGCGUUAAUUACGUUUGCCUAGAGAAAGUCCGGAACGGCUGGUUUUAAUUAAGAGACGGACGGC